CUAGACACCCAAAUUUCUCCAGCACUGUUUUUAGAAUAAGCUAACUACCUAAAUAUCUCAGCCCUCAAUCUCCUUAGAGUUUCAGAGUUCUCUGACUCACCCUAACGGAAAAAAAUUUUGUUUGUUUUGGGGCAACACCAGGCUGUGUUCACUAGCUAAUUCCUGGCUGUGCACUCAGAAAUUACUCUUGGUGGUGCUGAGGGACCAUAUGGAAUGCCACGGAUUGAAUUUUGAUUGGUCAUCUGCAGAGCAAACGCCUUACCAGCGGGAGUAGAGUGUUUGCCUGAACAUGGCCAACCUGGGUUGGAUUCCUCCAUCCCUCUUGGAGAGUCCCGCAAGCUACCGAGAGUAUCCCCCUACAUGGCAGAGCCUGGCAAGCUACCCAUGGCAAGCUACCCGUGGCGUAUUCAGCAUGCCAAAAACAGUAACAGCAAGUCACAAUGGAGACGUUACUGGUGCCUGCUCAAGGAAAUCUAUGAACAACGGGUCAGCAGUCCUACACUGCUAUAGUGCCAUUUCUAAGUGACUUUUAGAUCUUCAGACUCACAUGAUCUUAGUGCAUUUUCUAUUUCAUUAUACAUUGUAAAAAUAUUAAAAGUCUCUUUCAGGGGCUGGAGUGGUAGUAGAGUGGGUAGGGCUCUUGCAGUGCAUGCUGUCAAUGGUGGUUUGAUCCCUGAUACUGAGUAUGGUUCCCUGAAGAGUCAUCACUGCCUCUAGAGCAAGGCGUAAGUCGUUAAUUCUGCAAGGUGUGGCUCAGAAACAAACUAGAAACUGUCUUUCACAGAACUUCCCAAAUGACUGCUGAUUUCCCAUUCCCUAAAACCCCCAGUUUAUUGUGAUACAGUGGUAACUCACUGUCAUUUUGAUUUGCGCUUCCCUGAUAAUAACUAAUAGUGUCCAUCAUUUCAUAUAACUUGCUACUGCCUGCCUUUUUUGGUGAAAUGGCUGUUUCAUUCUCCCCAUUUUAUAGUGAGUUUUUAUUGUUAAGUUUUUCAAGUUCUUUAUAUAUUGAGUUUUAGACCUUUGCUUGAUGAAUGGUGCAUGAAUUUGUCUUUUUUCUUUCAUGGAAUGACUUUGUGUUUAAUAAAGUA